GACAGAGGGUGCAAACGUUGUUCGGAAUUACUGGGCGUAAAGCGUGUGUAGGCGGUCUCAUAAGUCGGGUGUGAAAGCCCAGGGCUCAACCCUGGAAGUGCACUCGAAACUGCGAGGCUUGAGUACCGGAGAGGUUGGUGGAAUUCUCGGUGUAGAGGUGAAAUUCGUAGAUAUUCGGAAGAACACCAGUGGCGAAGGCGGCUCACUGGUCCGGUACUGACGCUGAGGAGCGAAAGCCAGGGGAGCGAACGGG
rnacentral:rRNA from 1 species